rnacentral:rRNA from 1 species
UACGUAGGGUGCGAGCGUUAAUCGGAAUUACUGGGCGUAAAGCGUGCGCAGGCGGUUGUGCAAGACAGAUGUGAAAUCCCCGGGCUUAACCUGGGAAUUGCAUUUGUGACUGCACGGCUAGAGUGUGUCAGAGGGGGGUAGAAUUCCACGUGUAGCAGUGAAAUGCGUAGAUAUGUGGAGGAAUACCGAUGGCGAAGGCAGCCCCCUGGGAUAACACUGACGCUCAUGCACGAAAGCGUAGGGAGCAAACAGG